rnacentral:sRNA from 1 species
GGGUGGCCCUGGAGUCUUCAUGGCUGGACCUCCUCCUCAUCCUGCAAAAGCAACUCAGGCAGUUUGGGAAGAGCCCUGCAGGCCUUGUGACUUUUGAGACUGUGGCCUCUGAGGACUGGGUGGAGGAGGAGCGUGGGGCAGGAGCAUGGCUUCCCUGCUCUGUGGCCCUCAGGGUAGACAGUGGCAAGUCCCCAGAAAGCAGGCUGGGCUGCCGAAGCACAGACUUUCUGGUUUUCAGGACUCCUUUUAUCCUCUUGAAAAGUAGUGAAACUCCAUGCAAAUUUUAUGUUUCUCUAAUGUUGGGCUUACUAGCAGGCAGCUCAGUCUCUUACCUGCUUCUGAUAUCACAGCCCCUGAAAAGGAAAACUCCAUUCUAUGAGGGAAUGAGUGACAAGACCAUAUUCUUGGAGUGCUGGCACUGUGGGUCCUGGUGACGCACGUGAUGUACAUGCAAGAUUAUUGGAGGACCUGGCUCAAGGGGCUGCGCGGCUUCUUCUUCGUGGGUGUCCUCUUCUCGGCCGUCUCCAUCGCUGCCUUCUGCACCUUCCUCGUGCUGGCCAUCACCCGGCAUC